GACGAACGCUGGCGGCGUGCUUAACACAUGCAAGUCGAACGGAAAGGCCCUGCUUUUGUGGGGUGCUCGAGUGGCGAACGGGUGAGUAACACGUGAGUAACCUGCCCUUGACUUUGGGAUAACUUCAGGAAACUGGGGCUAAUACCGGAUAGGAGCUCCUGCUGCAUGGUGGGGGUUGGAAAGUUUCGGCGGUUGGGGAUGGACUCGCGGCUUAUCAGCUUGUUGGUGGGGUAGUGGCUUACCAAGGCUUUGACGGGUAGCCGGCCUGAGAGGGUGACCGGCCACAUUGGGACUGAGAUACGGCCCAGACUCCUACGGGAGGCAGCAGUGGGGAAUAUUGCACAAUGGGCGGAAGCCUGAUGCAGCAACGCCGCGUGCGGGAUGACGGCCUUCGGGUUGUAAACCGCUUUCGCCUGUGACGAAGCGUGAGUGACGGUAAUGGGUAAAGAAGCACCGGCUAACUACGUGCCAGCAGCCGCGGUGAUACGUAGGGUGCGAGCGUUGUCCGGAUUUAUUGGGCGUAAAGGGCUCGUAGGUGGUUGAUCGCGUCGGAAGUGUAAUCUUGGGGCUUAACCCUGAGCGUGCUUUCGAUACGGGUUGACUUGAGGAAGGUAGGGGAGAAUGGAACUCCUGGUGGAGCGGUGGAAUGCGCAGAUAUCAGGAGGAACACCAGUGGCGAAGGCGGUUCUCUGGGCCUUUCCUGACGCUGAGGAGCGAAAGCGUGGGGAGCGAACAGGCUUAGAUACCCUGGUAGUCCACGCUGUAAACGGUGGGUACUAGGUGUGGGGUCCAUUCCACGGGUUCCGUGCCGUAGCUAACGCUUUAAGUACCCCGCCUGGGGAGUACGGCCGCAAGGCUAAAACUCAAAGGAAUUGACGGGGCCCCGCACAAGCGGCGGAGCAUGCGGAUUAAUUCGAUGCAACGCGUAGAACCUUACCUGGGUUUGACAUGGAUCGGGAGUGCUCAGAGAUGGGUGUGCCUCUUUUGGGGUCGGUUCACAGGUGGUGCAUGGCUGUCGUCAGCUCGUGUCGUGAGAUGUUGGGUUAAGUCCCGCAACGAGCGCAACCCUUGUUCACUGUUGCCAGCACGUUAUGGUGGGGACUCAGUGGAGACCGCCGGGGUCAACUCGGAGGAAGGUGGGGAUGACGUCAAGUCAUCAUGCCCCUUAUGUCCAGGGCUUCACGCAUGCUACAAUGGCUGGUACAGAGAGUGGCGAGCCUGUGAGGGUGAGCGAAUCUCGGAAAGCCGGUCUCAGUUCGGAUUGGGGUCUGCAACUCGACCCCAUGAAGUCGGAGUCGCUAGUAAUCGCAGAUCAGCAACGCUGCGAUGAAUACGUUCCCGGGGCU
rnacentral:rRNA from 1 species